rnacentral:tRNA from 1 species
AAAUUUAAAUAGCUUAAUAUAAAGCAAAGUAUUGAAGAUACUAAGAUGAAUUUUUAAUUCUUUAAUUA